AAUUGAACUAAGAUUAUUUAAAAUAAAAGGUUAAUAGACUUAUGUGUGCAAGGUUUCGAAUUUUCAAAUUUAAAAAUUGUUUAACUUUCAAAUUUUCAAAGUUCUAAGCCUUUUUAUUUCUAAAUUUACAUUGUUUAAGACUAUAGAAAGAAAACACGCCUCUCCAAUGAAAGUUCCUCAAGUACACCACGUAGCUUUUUAACUUUUUCUAGCAAUAAUCGCACAAACCUUACAUGGCUCUGGAACAGACGCAUUUACUUAUACCUGAAACAAUAUAUUCUGUUACAUCGACAUCUUAUAGAAUGUUACAAAACGCCGAAGCAUUCAAGCAUAAAAGAAAUGCUGCACUCUUAAUAAUUAAUAGCGACAGUGAGGCGCACGAAAACAUUCUUAAAUUAUCGCUAGAACGAAUAGGAAACUAUAGUAGUUGUCUUUUUGCGGGCAACGAGAUUUCACCACAGACGCGUUACCGAUAAACCAAUGCAACUUCUGGCUACGAGUACUAGGAGAGAAGCGUAAAUGGGACAAGCUCAACGGUCACACAACCGUGACUUUCUAGCCAUGUUGCGUCGUUGAGACUUUUUGUCGUGUAACCAGUCGCUGUUUGUGCUUCCGCCUACACCAUUGCUUAAAAUGUGUUUCCUAGGGAAAAUUGAGAGACUUGUAUGUAUGAUUUUGGAGUGGUUAUUGUCAUUCAAAUUGGUUGAUACUUCUAAGAAUUUCAUAUUCAUAAAUUUGGUUUGAACACAGAAAAUUUUUACUUUUACAAAUGCUACAUUUAUAUUUGUAGGUUUGUAUGGAAUUAAAUUUUAGAUAUAUAAUGUGACGACUAUAUAAAUGUUCUAAAUUGUAUCUGAAUUAUUAUGCAGAUAUUUUAAAUUGUAUAAAUUUAUGCAAAAGUGUUAACUCUAAAUUUCUAAAUUAGUAGAUCUCAAAAUAAAAGAUUAUUCUUGCAGUUAACGGAAGAAUCUAUUCAAGAUGGUUCGCGCAGACUGUUUCGUUCCACUAACUCACAAUCAAUUUGAUUGGAUUUCUUCAACUGAAGUCACUUAACGCUUAAGAGAUCAUGUAAUUGACUGGGAUACAUCGUUUAAGCUUAGUUUACAUUCGAACGAUAGAUCAAGUUAAAUCGAAUCACGGAAAGAAAUCAGGGAAAAGUGGACGAGAGGAAGACUCAUCGAGGUCACUGAUCGAGGUCAAGUUUUAGACUACUAUAAUGUCUAAUCGUGGAGCAUGUGGAUGCUGGUGUCGUUGCCUUCUCGCAAAUGUCAUAUACCGGAGAAGGGGAAAUUCCAUGGAAAAGUUAGAAUAUCGGAAUCUCGGGCUCCUCUUUGACUCUUUGAAUUUUUCAAUCUUUCAAAUUUCCAAAUUUUCGAAUUUUCAAAAUUUCAAAUUUCCGAAUUCUUAAACUUUCAAAUUUCCAAAUUUCCGAAUUUUUAAGUUUUUCAAUUUCUCAAUUUUCAACUUUUCGAAUUUUUUAAUUCCUAAAAUUAAAAAUCUUUAGCUUAUCAAAUAAAAUAUGCAUUACCCGAUUCGUUAACAUUAAGUUCCCAUAGUUUCCAAAACUUCUAAAACAUUCGUCUUCAACAAAAAUGCCUAAAACUCAGUAUUUUUAAUUUUAUCUAACAUUAAUAUGUGAUAUCGAUGUGUAUGAUAAUGACAAUUAUGCAAACU